rnacentral:rRNA from 1 species
CCCUUUGAUACUCUGGGCGGCACGCGCGCUACAAUGGAUAACUUAACGUGUUACAUGUCCGAAAGGAUGUAUGCAAAUCACAAAUGUUAUGUCUCGAGUGGGAUAGUUUACUGCAAUUAUAGGCUUGAACUAGGAAUCCCUUGUAGGUACACCGAAGCAUAGUGUACCGAAUACGUCCCUGCCGUUUGUACACACCGCCCGUCGUUUCUUCCGACUGAUACUCAUUGUGAAUUGCGGGGAUAACGUUGUUGAAAACCGUUGUAAAUGCUGGGUAUUGGAGGAAGAAAAAGUCGUAACA